GGGGUAUUAGCUCAGCUGGGAGAGCGCGGGCUUUGCAAGCCUGAGGUCAGGGGUUCGAGCCCCCUAUACUCCACCA
rnacentral:tRNA from 1 species